AGAGCGAACGCUGGCGGCAGGCCUAAUACAUGCAAGUCGAACGGAUCCUUCGGGAUUAGUGGCGGACGGGUGAGUAACACGUGGGAACGUACCCUUUGGUUCGGAACAACUCAGGGAAACUUGAGCUAAUACCGAAUGUGCCCUUCGGGGAAAAGAUUUAUCGCCAUUGGAGCGGCCCGCGUCUGAUUAGCUAGUUGGUAGGGUAAAGGCCUACCAAGGCUACGAUCAGUAGCUGGUCUGAGAGGAUGAUCAGCCACACUGGGACUGAGACACGGCCCAGACUCCUACGGGAGGCAGCAGUAGGGAAUCUUGCGCAAUGGGCGAAAGCCUGACGCAGCCAUGCCGCGUGAAUGAUGAAGGUCUUAGGAUUGUAAAAUUCUUUCAGCGGGACGAUAAUGACGGUACCGCAGAAGAACGCCCGCUAACUCGCGCCAGCAGCCGC
rnacentral:rRNA from 1 species